rnacentral:rRNA from 1 species
CCUACGGGAGGCAGCAGUGAGGAAUAUUGGGCAAUGGACGAGAGUCUGAACCAGCAAAGUAGCGUGAAGGAUGACUGCCCUAUGGGUUGUAAACUUCUUUUAUAAAGGAAUAAAACGAGGCACGUGUGCCUUUUUGCAUGUACUUUAUGAAUAAGGAUCGGCUAACUCCGUGCCAGCAGCCGCGGUAAUACGGAGGAUCCGAGCGUUAUCCGGAUUUAUUGGGUUGAAAGGGAGCGUAGACGGGUUGUUAAGUCAGUUGUGAAAGUUUGCGGCUCAACCGUAAAAUUGCAAUUGAUACUGGCAGUCUUGAGUACAGUUGAGGUAGGCGGAAUUCGUGGUGUAGCGGUGAAAUGCUUAGAUAUCACGAAGAACCCCGAUUGCGAAGGCAGCUUACUAAACUGUGACUGACAUUGAUGCUCGAAAGUGUGGGUAGCAAACAGGAUUAGAUACCCUUGUAGUC